rnacentral:SRP_RNA from 1 species
AGCCGGGGGAUCAGCGGUCCCCUGUACCGGAAUAUCCGCUAUACGCCGGGGUGAUUUCUGUUCGAGGGCCGUAUUUCGUGUCAGCUGCCCUGAGUAAGUGGCGUUGAUAUCCGGGUCCUGCGCAAUGGAUGCCGGUGAACCGUGUCAGGUCAGGAAUGAAGCAGCACUAAGCCGGAUUUUUCAUGUGCCGCAGGGUCGCCUGGAUUGAGCUAACUGCACAGGUAACGUUUCAUGGGAGCGGUUCGACAGCAGAAGC